AGAUGAAACAGGAGAACAAAUGGUCAUUUAAAAUGACGGUGAAAAGCCAGAACAGUGGAGUGUAUGUAAGAUCUUGUGACAGAACAUGUGUUGUAACCACCCUUACAAACAGUCUAGAAAAGGGCUGUACAGAAGAAAAAAACACUUGUAGAGGACACGAGAGCGUGGGAUGGAUGGAGAAGAUAUUCAGGGUGACCCAACAGUGCAGAUUGCUUCUUUCUCCUGUAUACAAGAAAUCAUGGAUUUCACCUCAUUGUUCCCUUGAGCUUCAUAGAAGGUUCUCCUAUUUUUCCUGUGCAUCAGGCAUUAUCAAUAUGAAUGAGUUUAGUUACAGAGGCAGGACAUCCAGGGCAUGCUGAAGAACAUGAAGCAAUAUGACAAACUCAAGCAUGAAAUAUAAAACGGCUGAAGCAUAUCAGAGCAUGGGAAAAUAACUCCUGAUGAAGUUCUGGAUUGCAUUGUUACAGGGAGAAAAAGAAAUUCAUAGCCCAUCACCUUCCAACGAUGACCAAACCCACAGUUUAUAUUUCUCUUAAGUUCCACCAGGUUGAUUAAGCCCUGGAUAAAACAGUUUGCAGAAUGCAUUAAUGAGCAAGUUUUGCUACUACUGAUUUUCUGUUCCUGGCAAAGUGGGUGCAUCAGGAGAGAGACAGUGAAUAAAGCGAAGUCCUACGUGGAAGGCAUUAUGUUGUAGCUCAGCAUGAUGGAUAUCUCCUCAAACAUCAUUAGAGAGCUUGCGAGUAGAUUUCAAGCUGGAGGAAAGGAGGCCAGUUUGGGUAUCAGGUAGGAUUCCUGGCAGCCAUGACCUGCAAUGACAAGCUCUCUCUCCUGGGAGCCAGCUGACUGUAGAGAAGGAAACACCUAAGAGCAUCAGCCCAAAUUUAACCCUUUUGCUCGGUCAUGCUCAGCUGGAUACCUGUGGCUGACCACACGAAUGCAAGAUUUUAUUAUUAUUUACAUGUAAUGAUUCGACUCGGACAGAAACAACACAGACAUGUUUGCAGAACACAGGCAGAAUUCACACACACGCGGCCAUCUGAGCACACAGACACGGCUGGCACACUCCACAGGCACUGCUGUAAAACCGACCGACUUCCAUCACUGACUCUGCAGAUGCAGUUAAAAGCUGGUGGUUAAAGAAAGCAUUAAAACAUGAAAUUAAUAUAUGGUGUAAAAACAAGCCUAAGCCAACCCAAAGCAAUUGCAAGAACAGAGAGUAAAAUCCAUUUCUCUGAUGGAUGGAUACAGAAUUUAUGACUGAUGCCCUUCAUAUUCUCUAACUAGAAAGCGUACACAUCCCUUUCCAUGCUGCUCUGGAUCUCCUGCUUAGAGUUAUUCCACCACAAAUGAAAGCUGGAAAAAGUGGAGCUGUGUGAAUCUGUGCUUUGACACACAGCUGCCCAUUUCCAACGCGCCAGGGAUAUCACAGCCGGUCCUUCUGGAUGUGAAAUCUGCCUAUUUCCCCUACAAAAAGGUGAGAACUCCUUGAGCUGCAAAGAAUGGGCAUUCACAGGACACACCUCACGGCUGUGCUUGCUCUGUUGUGAGCGGCUCUGUGGUCUGGAAGUGUCCUAGGACAGCCCUGAGUGAUGGGGCCAGCGAGGACUGAGAUGGGGAGCUUUCCUGCCUCACACCUACAAAUACAGGAGCAUUACUCUGACAGGUUAUUACAUUUGAUUACUUCAGCUGUUUCUAAAUGACAGCAGCAGUUGCUCGCAAUAGCAUUAGCACAGCCUGAUCUAUUUGCUGGCUGUAUGAACCACAGUCUAUGACGCUUAUCAUCACAUUUUUCCACUGUUUACCUUCUCACUCAUUGCUGCAGAGACCCAUUGGCUGUUAGUCUUAGAAAGAAUGAGAUGGGGCCCAGCUGAGGUUCUUGUUCCAAAAGAGAUAGAGCUUUUGGCUGCCACGUGGUUCAGUAUGACUUGAAUUUUAUCAGACUGGACAGAACAGAAGCUGGCAUUUUCACAUAUUGUCAGCUUAAAGUAGCUUAAAAUUUCUCUAGAAAGCUGCUUGGUGACAAACCAGGAGAGACAGCUGCCUGCAGAACUCAGAAACACAACAUUUUGUACUGCAGCUCAUCAAUUUUAGUCUUGCAGCACUGUGAGUCCACAACCUUCACCCCCCCCUUUCGGGUCAACGGGCAGCUUCUCCUCUGUACAAGGAGACAGAGGAGUACAUUUUGCACUUUGGGGUAGAAAUUGAAAUAGAAGAGAUGCAGCUGGCCUAGCAACAAGCUGUGAGGAUGAUACCACGGGUCACAUUCUUUCAGAACAGCAGCUCUUCCCAGCCUAUAAGCUUAAGAAAUGCACAUGAGAAGGUACAUUAUUCAGAAUGAUACACCCCAAACAGCUCAUGUAUCAACAGGUAUUAUUUCCCCUCUAAAGAAAUCAGGACUAAAAUGUUGCCCCUAUUGCGUUACUCUGCAGAAACCAAAGUGGACUCCUUGGAGUCUGUAGCACUGAACCAUACAGUCCAGGCAGAAAUUGCUGAUGGAAGACUGGAAAGCUGGGGAGUUGUGCUGCAAUGGAUUUCUCAAAUCCAUGUUAGGUAAAUGCUGUCAGAAUGACAUACCUGCUUCUGCCUUGCUCUAGUCAACGCAUUCACAUGACUUCUUGCCCCUGUGGUCUGCACUGCAUGUUAAAUGAGCAAUACACAUGCCCACCUGCAAAGGGUACUUUUGGGAACAAACUUCCCAGGAUGCAGCACGCAGCAAAGGGGAGGUGCAAAUCACUCACAAAUACUCAACUGAGAAAGGGGUUGCUCUUGUAAAAGAGCUACUCACAAGACACUGGAUGGAGUGCCUAUGGCUGUGAUGCAUAAAGGAGGAAGGAAAGGAGAAAGAAUGGACGGGCACACUUGGAGGAUCAAAUCAGAGUCAGUGGUGACCCCACAGCAGGAAGACAAUUCUGACAGUACUGAAAAGAAAUCAUUACUGAGCACCAAGAAGCAGGCAAGGAUGCUGCUGGGCCUGUAGGACCAAGUCACAUUUGGCAGCCAGAGAGAGGCUUUGACUGGAAAGAGCAGAGCACUGAGGAUAAAUCCCAACUCACUGCAGACAGGUCUCCUUCAGAUGUAAGUGACAGCAGUUUCCUUCCUAGAGUGCAGGAGAUGUGGUCUCUGUAUGUACCCAUGGUUAGAAAUGUAACAUACUUGUCUGAUGGUGUUCAACUUAAGCAUCUCAACUCACCAUAACCAAGGUGGAACAGUUAACGCUCUGUGUUACAAACUGAAGUUUGCCCACAAAGAUGAAUUCGUUUGCAAACAACAAACAAACUCCACAACAGACACUGAAUUUGGAGCCUCAGUAUUGCCAGUCCUCCAUGUUCAGGGCAACACGGGCCUGUCUCAAGCAGUUACGGAACUGGCUUAGAAACCUCUACAUCUUUUAAUGUAGUACAGUUCUAGAGAUUCAUUAACUGAGGCCCGGAAGGAUAAUGAGCUCUGACCUCCUCCCUGUCCCAGGCUACACAAUUUCAGGCAGGUACCCCCACAUUCAUCUCACUGGCUUGUUCCUUUUUGCUUGACAACCCAGGGCACCCUCGUGGGGUUCCAACAUCAACUCUUCCAAUUUGCAGAACUUGUUGGAAUGGUAAAUAACACACGUUAUUAAGUAUACCCAUCUAAUUCAAAGACUGCUGUUGCAAAAAUGGCAUUUACCUUCAGAGGUUAGGGGCUACAAACAUCUAUCAACAAGUGGAAGCGAGGAGUCGCACACCACUUGACUUCAGAAUCUUUGGAAGGGCCUCCAACUGAGUAUUGGGGUGUAUGAUGAAAUCAUGAGAACCGACAAUACUGCACCACUGGUUGUUCAUCUUUUACCAGCUGACAAUCUGCCACGAGAAGGUCACUUUGUACUUGCAAUGAUAAACACACCGACACACAGCCUGGAUAUAGGCUUCCAUGAAAUGCAACUGAAAGUAAUUAGAGAUGAAAGCUAAGUCAGAAUUCCUUAGGAAAAAUAAGAGUGUAAAGAACUUCAGAACAAAAACCCUUAAGCAUAUCCAGAGAAAGGCAAAUUCCAGUGGCAAUGGAAGCUCUUGCCUUUAUCUGGAACUAAACUGGCUAAGCUGGGGCUGAAACAGUGAAAGUGAACAGGACAGAGUUGAAGAAAUCUGCCAGGAGAACUGAAGUUUUGCAUACAGAAUAUUCUAGUGGCUGGGCACGGGCGCCCUUUGGUUAGCCCUUUCCUCAGAACACUGACCUGAUUGCUCCUGAUGGAGUGUUCAGGGUGUCACUGCAUGGUGCAC
rnacentral:lncRNA from 1 species